GUUAAUAUGCAGCAAAUUUCUCAGAAUAUCAACGUCAAGAAGAAAAUGGAAAAAUGUAUACAAAAAAAUUCUGUUUUGGAACAAAAGAAUGAUGUAGGAAAAUGUGACAAUACUGAAAAUGCAUUGAAUGGACAGAUGCAAAGCACAUGUAACCUGAAAUUUGGAGAACAGAAUGACAAGGAUAAACACUUGCUGUUAGCGGCCGAAGAUGGAAUCAAGGAUUUACAGCUGAGAGUCUUGAGG